CCUACGGGCGGCAGCAGUAGGGAAUCUUCGGCAAUGGACGAAAGUCUGACCGAGCAACGCCGCGUGAGUGAAGAAGGUUUUCGGAUCGUAAAACUCUGUUGUUAGAGAAGAACAAGGACGUUAGUAACUGAACGUCCCCUGACGGUAUCUAACCAGAAAGCCACGGCUAACUACGUGCCAGCAGCCGCGGUAAUACGUAGGUGGCAAGCGUUGUCCGGAUUUAUUGGGCGUAAAGCGAGCGCAGGCGGUUUCUUAAGUCUGAUGUGAAAGCCCCCGGCUCAACCGGGGAGGGUCAUUGGAAACUGGGAGACUUGAGUACAGAAGAGGAGAGUGGAAUUCCAUGUGUAGCGGUGAAAUGCGUAGAUAUAUGGAGGAACACCGGUGGCGAAAGCGGCUCUCUGGCCUGUAACUGACACUGAGGCUCGAAAGCGUGGGGAGCAAACAGGAUUAGAUACCCGUGUAGUC
rnacentral:rRNA from 1 species